rnacentral:misc_RNA from 1 species
AACGCACGAGACCUGCGGACCUGCGGAGGGAUCAUUACAGGACUCGCAAGACUCCUACAACCCUGUGAACCUACUAUACGAACGUUGCUUCGGCGGGUGCGCCCCGGGGAUUCGUUCCCGCGGCGCGUCAGCCCGCCGGCAGCCUACAAAUUCUGUUUCUUUGCGUUGGCAUCUCGAGAAAAACAAAUAAGUUAAAACUUUCAACAACGGAUCUCU